rnacentral:rRNA from 1 species
AGAGUUUGAUUCUGGCUCAGGACGAACGCUGGCGGCGUGCUUAACACAUGCAAGUCGAACGGAGCACCCCAGAAGGAGUUUUCGGACAACGGAUGGGAAUGCUUAGUGGCGGACUGGUGAGUAACGCGUGAGGAACCUGCCUUCCAGAGGGGGACAACAGUUGGAAACGACUGCUAAUACCGCAUGAUGCGUUGGAGCCGCAUGACUCCGACGUCAAAGAUUUAUCGCUGGAAGAUGGCCUCGCGUCUGAUUAGCUAGUUGGUGAGGUAACGGCCCACCAAGGCGACGAUCAGUAGCCGGACUGAGAGGUUGGCCGGCCACAUUGGGACUGAGAUACGGCCCAGACUCCUACGGGAGGCAGCAGUGGGGAAUAUUGGGCAAUGGACGCAAGUCUGACCCAGCAACGCCGCGUGAAGGAAGAAGGCUUUCGGGUUGUAAACUUCUUUUAAGGGGGAAGAGCAGAAGACGGUACCCCUUGAAUAAGCCACGGCUAACUACGUGCCAGCAGCCGCGGUAAUACGUAGGUGGCAAGCGUUGUCCGGAUUUACUGGGUGUAAAGGGCGUGCAGCCGGAGAGACAAGUCAGAUGUGAAAUCCACGGGCUCAACCCGUGAACUGC